rnacentral:rRNA from 1 species
CGCUUUUUGAUUUUGAUUUAAAGUCGUACCUGCCCUAUGAAUAUUAGGUUAAAUGGCUGCGGUAUUUUGACCGUACAAAGGUAGCAUAAUCAUUAGUUUCUUAAUUAGAAACUUGUAUGAAUGGUUUAAUGAGAAAAAUUCUGUCUCUAGUUUAUUUUUAAUGAACUUUAUUUUUGAGUUAAAAAGCUCAAAUUCUUUUGUAGGACGAGAAGACCCUAUAGAGUUUAAUAGUAGAAUUAAUUUGUUUAUUUAGGAAUUAUUAAUAUUUAAAUUUAUUUUACUAAUUUGUUGGGGUGACCGAAAAACUUAUUUAACUUUUUUUUUUCUAUUCAUUUAUUUAUGUUUGGUUGAUCCAUUAUUUAUGAUUAAAAGAUUAAAUUACCUUAGGGAUAACAGCGUAAUUUUUUUGGAGAGUUCUAAUCAAUAAAAAAGUUUGCGACCUCGAUGUUGGAUUAAAGUUUACAGUUGGUGCAGUAGCUUGAUUGUUAGGUCUGUUCGACCUUUAAAACUUU